rnacentral:lncRNA from 1 species
GUGUGUGUGUGUGUGUGUGUGUGUGUGUGUGUGUGUGUGUGUGUGUGUGUGUGUGUGUGUGUGUGUCUGUCUGUCGGGAAGGCAGCACUGCUCUGUGCUGUCCUCCUUAUCUGAGAAGCCUCUCUCCCUCCUCUCCUCUCAUUCGUCUGUGCUGGUAACUACCGUUUUCUGUGCCAAGAAAGACUCUUGUGUUACAGCAAGGUCUCUGUUUUCAGUCUCCCUUUCCCUUACAUACUUACUCCCCUUAACGAGAGAGAGACAUGCUGUGUACUGUAUAUAGUAGUGCUGUAUAGCUUGUUUUGGUUAGAUUUCUUUUUGACUGUAGAGGAUGAUUUUUUUUUAAGACACCAGCCUAAUAUAUUAUUAUAUAAACCACUGGACAUCUGACUAGUGUAAUAAUAUAUAUAUAUUUUUUUUGAUUUGUGACUGGAUUGAUUUUAUUGUUAUUAUUUCAUUUUUUAUUUUGCUCUUGCUGGUGUCUUUCUUUGUUCUUUUUAACUAGUAUUUUAAAACAUAUUUCAAGAUGCUAGCCAUGUUUUUAAUUUCAUUUGAUUAGAUUAUUAACGUUGAAAAACACAACGGUCUGUCUGUGAGGGAUCUAGCUAACUUUGGGUGUGGUUUUUCCUACUUGUGACAACCUUGGAAAUCUCCUAUACAGUAUCCUCUGUCAAAACAUGUUUCACUGUCUGCUGUAAGUUUUAUUAUAUGGGGAAACGUAAUACAUUUUUCAGAGAUAUGACAUUCGUUGCAUAAUGCUAAUCAAAAAUACUUGUUGUUUUGCACUUCAUAGAUAAUGACUACUGUGUCUGUGAUAUAAUAGAGUGAUGCAGAGAGUAGAGCAGCGAUGGUAGAAUGACCUCUGAUCUAUGACCUAUGACCCCUGCCAAUGGCCAGAGAUGGUAUGACCCCAAGGGUCUUUUGGUGUAAUCCUGGGUCAUUGGGUUACAGGAUGUCUCUUCACUGGGGGUGGGUAGCAGUGGAUGCUGGUGGGAGGAGCUAUAGGAGGACAGGCUCAUUGUAAUGUCUGGAAUGGAAUUCAUGGAACGGAGUCAAACGUGGUUUCCAUAUGUUUGACGUGUUUGAUACCAUUCCAUGUAUUGCAUUCCAGCCAUUACAAUGAGCCUGUCCUCCUAUAGCUCCUCCCACCAGCCUCCACUGGUGGGUAAGUAGGCAGGCACUACAUGUAGGCCUAACCAUAGAAAUAUAAUUACUAGAUUGGUUAUUCUGUAUAUGGCCCUAACCCAUAGUGCUGCAUGCCAAGGCAGGCUUUGUUCGGGCCUCUCCGGGCCAGACCCAGACCCGUUCUGACUGCACUGUGCCAGGCUCCAGUGGGACAGGCUACAGGCCUCAGAGUGCUGGCAUAGGAUCAGUUCUGCCUUUUAGAUAAUACUGAAUAAGAUUAUAUGAACAGGAGAGACCCGAUCCUAGAUCAGCACUCCUACCCUAAGACGCUUUGUGAAUACGGGUCCUGUCCUCAGGGCUGUGGGUGGACAACAAGCAAGGAACAACUGUGGAGAUUCACCCUCCCAGAACCGAAGAGGGGCGGGUUUCAAUUCUUCAAUCUUGUGAUGUUUUCACUCAAUGUGGAGUACAAAAAAAAAGUAAAAAGCUGUUACUUAGUAGAUUUUUGCACUCGUCGAUGACUACCUAUCUGUGCAUGCUCGUCACCAUUUAUAUACAUGUCCAUUUAUAUACAUGUAAGUACCUUUCUCUCAGACGUAGUGUUAAAUACUAAUUAUAUUUAUGUGAAGGUCAUGUGACAAAAAUCAUAUUUUUUAGCGUAUAUCAGAUGACAGUUUUAUGUCUGUGCUUUCUUGAACACGAGAGAGAGAUAAAGACGGUUGUAAAAGAGAGACGGUAGAGAACUGUAGGGGAUGUCAGGGGAUAGGGUCCAACACAGGCCAAAGGGCCCACAAAUAACCUGUUGGAGUUGCUUGUGACAUCAUCAGAUUACCCAAAUACUGCACCCCCUGCCAGUUUGUAAGGAAAUCUAUAUGAAAUGCCUAAAGAUCUAGAUCUUCACGUCUGUGUUUAUAAAGAUGCUAUGAACAAAUUAGGGUGAGAUUUUACACAUACUACUGUUCCGUCAAGUUCGUUUUCCCCCCCUGGGCAGCCCCAUUUGUAAACACCCCUCCUGUCUGGGUUUGACAUGUCCUUGACUUGUCCACUCCUGAAUUGGCUUGCCUUCACACUGUUCCAUUCAGGGCAUCCGACGGAGGUGGUAUUGGUUUCCACAGCUGUGACUGUGCAGUGACGCAGCAUGCCUAUGUAUAGAACUAUGUUUCCCCUGAUUAGAAGAACAAACAGUUAACUCUCAGUUUCUGUAACCGAUUCAGGCAAACGUUCAAUAAAGUGUCAUGUUUGUAGUUAACGCCUUUCGAUGGAUCAUGUUUUUAUUUCUAAACAAGAACAGGC